UGUGGGCACACGCACAUGGCGAGCAGGAUCCAGGAGGAUCGCGGUCUCGCUCUUUAAGCUUUGGCUUGGUAGAGAGCAGCAGCUCCAGGCACUGAGAAAAGGCAGCCUCUUCUAAGCUCCUCUCCCGUCUGCCCGGUUGUGAGGACCCGUGGGUCCCACGCAGGAGCUGUCCUGGGGCUGUGAGAGCCAGGAGGGUGCUGGGGCCAUCCAGCACUGAAGGCUCUCAGCAAGUUUCCCUGCUCCGUCACUGUGUCCUUCAGGGCCAGGUGUGGGGCACUGCAGAAGCCCUGGAGAAGAGACUCUGCUACCAGGACCAGCAUGAGCCAGCUGCCACCAGUAGGGCCAUCAGAGGUGGCAGCAGCAGAUGGCAGAUGCCCCAUCUGCCUGGGUGACCUUGAAAAUGCCACCUAUGUGGAGGUCUGUCAGCAUUGUUUUUGCUUCAUCUGCAUCCGAGAAUGGGCCAAACUGACAGAGACCUGCCCACUCUGCAAGCAGCCUUUCGAGCGACUAAUGCACACCGUGACAGUGGAUGGCAACUAUGAGGAAUAUGUGUUUGGUCAGUCUGCCCACCCCAAAGGAAAGCAACCAGGAUCCGGAGCAGAUCCCCACAGUGGCACUACAACCUGUGUCACAGGUCCACUGACAGCAAGCCCUCCAAGAGCCGGAGCAGAUCCCCCCAGCAGCAUGACAACCCACAUCGCAGACCCCUGACACCCAACCCUUCACAGGGAGGAGGGGGAAUAUAGGAACUGAGUACAGGGGGAUCCAGUAGCUGUGGGGCCCUCCAGCGCAACUUCCUAGCAGGCUUCCGCAACCAGCACUUCUCAUGAGGGAACACCACUGAGCCCAGAGGAGCGCCUGACCCCUGUGGCAGCCUGACCUCUUUCAUCUGCAAUAAACAGCCAGGUGCUUUCAAUUUAAA